UUUCAAGUAUUGAAACUGAAAUUUUGCUUGAUUUUGAUUUGUAGGAAGGGAGAACAGCGUUGCAUUACUGUGCCUGUAGCAAGGAUCCUGAAGCGAUUUGGGAUGUUCUGAUAGAAAACGAUUGCGACGCGAGUAUCAUCGACAAAAGGGGCAAUCCUGCGGCUUAUUACUUGGAGCAUAGCUCGGAAAUUGAGCUACCGGAAGUGGAGAACAUGUCGCGCCGGAAGACCAGCUUUGGCAAAGAAUGCUUAGACUUCAAACCUUCGAACAUAAGAAUAUGGAUCCACAAUCGAGAUAUAGGAAAACUGCAGCAGGUUUUGUGGGAGGGUCAUGGGAACAAGUUGCGUAUGGAGACCAGCAACAAUCCUCGAGUGAGAAGAUUUCUGGAAGCUGUGCCGUUCAUUAUGGGUACCGUGAAGGAUGUCCACGCAUUAGUAAUAAAUAACGAUUUAGAGGAGUUGGAAAAUAAAAUAGAGGCCACCUCCCCGAUCGUUCUUUACGGCAAAGAUGGCAACGGUUUGAACGUGUUGCAUAAGGCUUGUGGCUUGGGAUACACGGAGAUCGCGAGGAACAUCCUCGCGAAAUUCCCCUCCGUUGUGGAAGCGCAGGACAACGACGGGAAGACACCGUUGCAUUACGCGGCUGCAGCCAAGGAUGAUGGAACUUUGUACAAUUUGUUGGUCGAGUACGGAGCCGAUGAAAGUAAACUGGAUAACAGGUUAAAGGCGCCAGCAUUUUACAAAAAUCGGCCAUCGGACAUAGACCAAUCGCUGUUAAACGUGAUACCGGAAGCGCCUCGAGUUGCGGGGACGUCGUAUCCCAAACAUUGGGACUGGAGGAUUUUAGACGCGGAGGAAUUUAUACUUAGAGGGAUGAAGAAGGUUAACAGUGCGGAUAUCGAUAGCGCAUUUGGCAGCGCGGAAUCGGCGCCGAAGAAUCUCAGCAGAUCCAUGGAACAGAUAAAAAAUAUCGAGGAAGAUCGAAAAGACGAAGAGGAAAACGCGGAAGACGCGGAGGAUGGAAAGAAGAACGGGGAAAACGCGGAAUCUGUUGAAAAUCCGGAGGAUACCAAAAACGAAGAAAAUGAGGAAGAUGCGGAAAACGCGGAGAAGACGGAAGAAACGGAAGAAACGGAAGAAGCGGAAGUGGCGGAGAAUCCGGAGCCAGAAACCACGGAAGAAGGUAACGAGGAACAGGAGGCGAAGGUCGAAGAAAUGGAAGAGAAGUCGUCGGAUGACGACGUGGUGACAGGUGCAGAGAUGCAAGAAACGGAGGAGAAUCCAAAGUCGAGAGGUGAGGAGGAGAACGAAGAUGAGGAGGAGAAAGAAAGUGAGGAGAAAGAAGGUGAGGAACCGGAAGGUGAGGAUAAAGUCGAUGAAGAAGAGGAUAAAGAGGAUAAAGAGGAAGCAGAGGAAUCGCAGAAAGAGGAUGAAGAGGGGAACGAACAGGAGGAGGAGAAUAAGGAGGAGCAAGAAGAAAGAAAAGAGCCCAGUACCGGUGAUUCUGGUGUCGAUGAUCCCGGAAACGAGGAAGACCAGGUGAUCGUCGGCGAACACGAGGAGCUUCCGGAAGCAGACUUGAACGAGGGCACGAUGACGGCCGAUCCGGAAAUCGAGAGGCUGCUGGAGGCCGGCAACAUGGAGCAAUUAGCCACGCUGGUGCUCAAUGGCGAAGGUAGAAGAUUGGUUGGUAGGCAUUCAGGGAAUACAGAGCUGCAGACGUUCAUCGAUCGUGUCCCUUCGUACAUGGGGAAAAUUCAUGCUGUGCAUAUGGCAGCACGAGAAGGGAAUCUGAGGGAUCUACAAAGCGCCUUAGAUCGUCGUAAAUUUGCAGUUGCAAGAGAUGAAUCAUCGCCACGUGGCGCAACGCCUCUUCACGUUGCAGUGAUAUUUGGAAACACUACCAUUAUCAGAUAUCUGGCAGGCAGGUUUCCAGAAACUGCGCACGCAAUCGAUCUCGAUGGCCGAACACCUUUGCACUAUGCAGCUACACUAGCGGACAACGGCCAUUAUUAUAACCUUCUACUUCACUUGGGUGCCAAUCCUUUAGUUCAAGACAACUUCGGACAAAAAGCGGAUUAUUACAAACAAGACCAGUCCGAAUUCUCUCACAAAUCACUCCUUCGCGAUUUCGGAGCUAAUGAGAAGUUGGCCGACGAGAUAUUGACGGAUAAAGUUUCUGGAGGCGACAUCUAUUCCUCGCGUCGAGACUUAAACGAACCGGAGACCGUAGCUACCCUGGAGAGAUGUUUCCGUCUUCUGAUCGGCGCGAGACACGGUACGACACCAAAAUCGGCUGGGAACUCCGGUACAUUGAUCGGUCGUUGCCUGAAACGGCCUACGUUCGAUCGUAUCAAGCACCGUGUGACACGCAUGGACCACAAUCUCUUUGAUGUGAUCUGGCCCGCUUUUAAGAGAUACGGUAACUCGUACAACAACGCGAGCAACGCGAGCAGCGCUUAUUCCGUGAUCAGCAACAUGACGGACGAGGACGAGUCGUUUUCCGUGGUCGCGCCCGAUUACGAGAGUUACAUAGUGUUCGCCGAGUUCUUCGAUCCUUUGAUCAGAGACGUGCAUUGCGUGACGGCCAGCGGCGAUCUGCCCGAUCAUCCCGUUCCGAGAUUCUUCUACGAGGACGAAGAGGGAGAGGAGAGCCACGACACGCUGGACGAAGUGACCGUGUCCUCGAUCAAUUCGUACGAUCUCGAUCCUCCGGCCAAGUACGUUCAAGCCGGUGUGAUAGAGUGUUGUAGAAAUCUGGAGAAUUACACUCUACCGUUGACGUUGACCGUGAACCAGCUUGAGGAGGUGGAACAAGAGAUCACGAAUCAACUGAUGAGCCAAGAGAUCACGACGAUGAUAGCCGAGGGUAGCAGCGAGGACGAGGCCGGUUCUUACUUCACCCUGAACGAGAUCCUCGACCAGCCGAGUCCCAUUAGGGCCCAGCUGGCCGCAGCUGGUCUACUUUUGCCGAUCACCGACUUCACCGAGCUCCACGACGAUAAACGCCUUCACGGGAAACACUGGCCCUACGGCCGAGGAGUGUACGUGGCUUCGGCCGGCGACCUGGCUAUCUGGGUCAACGUUCAGGAUCAUCUGAGGAUCGUUUCUCGGACUAGUGACACCAGGCCUGGCUUGAUCGGACAUGCAUACGCGAGAAUGGCGAAAUUGAUGAUGGUGUUCGAUUCGAGAUUGAAGUUCAAGAGGGACAGAAAGCUCGGAUUUCUAAGCGCGCGCCCGUACGCAAUUGGCAAUACGCUUAGAUUUAACGUGUUAAUCAGAUUCCCCGAACUGUCCAAGGAAUUUGAUCAUUUGAAGCAUCUGUGCGUCGUUCGAGGGUUAAGUAUACGGGAAACGGUGAAAAGGGAUACGGUACGAAUCGGUAAUCAACAAUCGUUGAGCAUCACCGAAUUGCAGACCCUUCAAGAUUUCUCGAGGGCCGUGCUCAAUGUUCUGGCGUUGGAGAAGGAAUUGUCGAUAAAUAAUUCGUUGAAAAUUGCCACCUUGAUCGCGGGCCUCUUUCGUAAACGAAACAGCGUUAAGCAGCGUUUACAGAAUUGAGCUUUCAUCAACUCUUUAUAGUAUAUUUCUAUCUUCUUCUCCUUCUUUUCCUUCUUUUUUUUUUUUUUUUAUAUAUAUAUAAAAUUAAAAACGGAACAAUACGCUUAUACAUGGAAUCCUUCUGUGAUAAUUCACGAGCCAAUCAACACGUUCGACUGUUAAAUUAUCUCCCAUCCCAGACUGAGGCAAUAUAUAUAUAUAUAUAUAUAGGGGAGAUAUGUUUUAGCGUUUAUGUUGAGAAUGAAAGAGACAAGAGAGACGUUGGAAAGAUGUGUGUGAACGUUAUUCUAUUUCUCGUGCGACGAAUGAUAUGAUACUUAAAUGAUUAAAACUACUAGAGGGAACAACUGGAUUUAUUCAUUAGAGUGGAGUGAUGCACUUUGUAUCCGUGAGUGUGCACCUUUUGUUUGUGAAAGAUUUUGCUUUUUUUAUCGUUUUCGAAAAGAAGAAGAAUAAUUAAAGAUAAUAAACGUAUUGCACUUGUAUCGAUAUAAGUGGAAAUAAUCGUUAUAUAAAAUAAGUGCAAUAGGUAAUUUCUAAGUAUUUUAUGCAUCAUCCAUUUGAUAACAAUAAAAAUUCGUAUUUCAGACGACAAAGUGGACGUAUCGAUAUUUCGAGAAGAAGAGGGUCGCUACUUAGCAUCGUCACUCGGUGAUCCAUUGAUCAGAGGUUUGACAGAAGUUGCCAAUAAUCGUCCAAAAGAUCCAGUUACUUAUCUGGCUACUUAUUUGUACAAUUUUGCCAAUAAAAGCAAGAGCAGCCCGCAGGAACAGGAACCUAAUGUAUUGAUCAUUCCUGAUCGUCCCGAAGAAAACAUAGAGAAUAUCGA